CAGCAUACGCGGUUAUACAAUUUAUGUUAAUUAAUCAUUUUGGUAUUAAUUGUAGUUAAAAUUUGCUUGAAUUUAAUUAUUUUGUUUUUAGGUGAAAUUAUAAAUAUUUAUUAAUUUUUUUUUGAUUCUUCGAAAUAUAUUUUUUAAACUAGGAUUAGAUACCCUAUUAUUUUAUAUGUUAAGAUUUACCUGGGUAGUAUUAGUUAUGUUCUUUAAACCUAAAGAAUUUGGCGGUAUUUUAGUCUUUUCAGAGGAACCUGUUCUAUUAUCGAUAAUCCUCGUUUUAUCUUACUUAAUUUUGUUUAUCAGUAUGUAUAUCGCCGUUAUAAGUUUAUUUUUUAAGAAUUAAAAUUUACUAGUUAUUUUAUUAUAUUUUAUU
rnacentral:rRNA from 1 species